AGAUUCUUGGUGUAAUGGUUAGCACGACAGACUUUGACUCUGUUGGUCGUAGUUCGAAUCUACGAGAAUCUA
rnacentral:tRNA from 2 species